rnacentral:tRNA from 1 species
GGCCUUAUGGUCUAGUAGUAUGAUUCUCGCUUUGGGUAGGGCACCCCCCCGCAUUCUCACUGCGAGAGGUCCUGGGUUCAAUUCCCAGUGAGGCCU